UACGGAGGGUGCAAGCGUUAAUCGGAAUUACUGGGCGUAAAGCGUGCGCAGGCGGUUUGUUAAGUCUGUUGUGAAAUCCCCGAGCUCAACUUGGGAAUUGCAAUGGAUACUGGCAGGCUGGAGUACGGUAGAGGAAGGUGGAAUUCCCGGUGUAGCAGUGAAAUGCGUAGAGAUCGGGAGGAACAUCAGUGGCGAAGGCGGCCAUCUGGGACAACACUGACGCUGAAGCACGAAAGCGUGGGGAGCAAACAGG
rnacentral:rRNA from 1 species